rnacentral:lncRNA from 1 species
UAGUCAGUUAAAGUAUGUAUUAGUUAGACUUUGUGGGAUGGUUAUUUAUUAGCUUUAGUUUUAUGUAAUCUUUUGGUAUGUACUGUUUGAUUGAGAUCAAACAGGAGAUGAUGUAUAGGGUUGUUGGACAGGUUGUAUUAAAUGUUAUAUCUAUUUUUAUGCAGCUUUGAUAUAUUUAUUGUUUUAAUUUUAUUAAUACCCCUCCCCCUGAUAUGAUGAUGUAUAUUCAUACCCCUCCCCC